UACGGAGGGGGCCAGCGUUGCUCGGAAUUAUUGGGCGUAAAGGGCGCGUAGGCGGCUUGGUAAGUUUGAUGUGAAAUCCCAUGGCUCAACCUGGAACUGCAUCUCAUACUGCCGAGCUAGAGUCUGGGAGAGGGAAGCGGAAUUCCCGGUGUAGCGGUGAAAUGCGUAGAUAUCUGGAGGAAUACCGGUGGCGAAGGCGGCAUCCUGGACCGGCAUUGACGCUGAGGAGCGAAAGCUAGGGGAGCAAACGGG
rnacentral:rRNA from 1 species